UGCGUAGGUGGCGCCGUAAGUCGGGUGUGAAAUUUCGGAGCUUAACUCCGAAACUGCAUUCGAUACUGCGGUGCCUGAGGACUGGAGAGGAGACUGGAAUUCAUGGUGUAGCAGUGAAAUGCGUAGAGAUCAUGAGGAAGACCAGUGGCGAAGGCGGGUCUCUGGACAGUUCCUGACACUGAGGCACGAAGGCCAGGGGAGCAAACG
rnacentral:rRNA from 1 species